GGGACAUGCUGCAGUCGACGAUUAGAGUUUGAUCCUGGCUCAGGACGAACGCUGGCGGCGUGCCUAAUACAUGCAAGUCGAACGAACUCUGGUAUUGAUUGGUGCUUGCAUCAUGAUUUACAUUUGAGUGAGUGGCGAACUGGUGAGUAACACGUGGGAAACCUGCCCAGAAGCGGGGGAUAACACCUGGAAACAGAUGCUAAUACCGCAUAACAACUUGGACCGCAUGGUCCGAGUUUGAAAGAUGGCUUCGGCUAUCACUUUUGGAUGGUCCCGCGGCGUAUUAGCUAGAUGGUGAGGUAACGGCUUACCAUGGCAAUGAUACGUAGCCGACCUGAGAGGGUAAUCGGCCACAUUGGGACUGAGACACGGCCCAAACUCCUACGGGAGGCAGCAGUAGGGAAUCUUCCACAAUGGACGAAAGUCUGAUGGAGCAACGCCGCGUGAGUGAAGAAGGGUUUCGGCUCGUAAAACUCUGUUGUUAAAGAAGAACAUAUCUGAGAGUAACUGUUCAGGUAUUGACGGUAUUUAACCAGAAAGCCACGGCUAACUACGUGCCAGCAGCCGCGGUAAUACGUAGGUGGCAAGCGUUGUCCGGAUUUAUUGGGCGUAAAGCGAGCGCAGGCGGUUUUUUAAGUCUGAUGUGAAAGCCUUCGGCUCAACCGAAGAAGUGCAUCGGAAACUGGGAAACUUGAGUGCAGAAGAGGACAGUGGAACUCCAUGUGUAGCGGUGAAAUGCGUAGAUAUAUGGAAGAACACCAGUGGCGAAGGCGGCUGUCUGGUCUGUAACUGACGCUGAGGCUCGAAAGUAUGGGUAGCAAACAGGAUUAGAUACCCUGGUAGUCCAUACCGUAAACGAUGAAUGCUAAGUGUUGGAGGGUUUCCGCCCUUCAGUGCUGCAGCUAACGCAUUAAGCAUUCCGCCUGGGGAGUACGGCCGCAAGGCUGAAACUCAAAGGAAUUGACGGGGGCCCGCACAAGCGGUGGAGCAUGUGGUUUAAUUCGAAGCUACGCGAAGAACCUUACCAGGUCUUGACAUACUAUGCAAAUCUAAGAGAUUAGACGUUCCCUUCGGGGACAUGGAUACAGGUGGUGCAUGGUUGUCGUCAGCUCGUGUCGUGAGAUGUUGGGUUAAGUCCCGCAACGAGCGCAACCCUUAUUAUCAGUUGCCAGCAUUAAGUUGGGCACUCUGGUGAGACUGCCGGUGACAAACCGGAGGAAGGUGGGGAUGACGUCAAAUCAUCAUGCCCCUUAUGACCUGGGCUACACACGUGCUACAAUGGAUGGUACAACGAGUUGCGAACUCGCGAGAGUAAGCUAAUCUCUUAAAGCCAUUCUCAGUUCGGAUUGUAGGCUGCAACUCGCCUACAUGAAGUCGGAAUCGCUAGUAAUCGCGGAUCAGCAUGCCGCGGUGAAUACGUUCCCGGGCCUUGUACACACCGCCCGUCACACCAUGAGAGUUUGUAACACCCAAAGUCGGUGGGGUAACCUUUUAGGAACCAGCCGCCUAAGGUGGGACAGAUGAUUAGGGUGAAGUCGUAACAAGGUAACCAAUCUCUAGAGGUCCCCGGGACCGAGCUGACGCAA
rnacentral:rRNA from 2 species